CACCGCGUGGGUUCUAUAAAAAGAAGGAAGAGUCGAACAUUUUCUCUUUUUUAUUUCCUGUAGGACCAAACAAUGACUGCAAAGAGAAUCAACAAAGAAACUGGAGAGCUGAGUGCUUCAGGGGAGUUAUCUGUCUCAGGGGAGCUGAAGACAGAAAAGUUGGGGGGCCUCUGUAAGAACCCCCUACUUCUACAAGAGCUCAGAGAACAGCUAGAGGAGCUGGAAGUUUCCAAGAGGUCAAAGCAGCUAAAUAAAACAGACCAAGCUGCUUUGGAGCAGCACUUGGUUAAAAUUAUACCUCUUUUUAUCCAGGUUUAUGAGGAUGGCUUCAGAUUUGAAGGUGUGGACAUAAAGGGGCUCGCCGCUUUCACUGCUGACAGUGUUAUCCAUAAUAUUCACAAAAGACUUGAAGAAGGACCCGCAGAACGAGCCCGAGAAGAUGUAGUCCAGUUUUUUAAGAGGCUAGAUGAGAACAAAGGUUGUGGAACGGAUGUAGUUCCUGGUUGGAUGCUGCUGAAAUCUAUGUUGCUUCUCUCAUCUUGCAGCUCAGUAAGUAAUAGAUCCAGUGUUGUCUUUGUUGUUAUAUAUUAAAAUGUGAACAAUUGUUUAGAAUGAAAAAACUUUGCUCUAAAUUUGUCUUUUGAAAUGCGCUUGCAGGAUAUUUGGUCGUAUAUGAACCCAGAACUCCCUGCUGCUUUGGUCAAAUGUCUCUAUCUGCUUGUAUGCCUUCCAUCUAAAACAGAAGACAUAGAGAAAACAUUUGAGGAGCCUCUCACACAGGUUUUCUUUUAACAGUUCCACAUUAUGGCCUUUGCAUUCUUAAGCUUAUAUGUAAUUGUGGCUUAUUGUGUGGCGCUACAAAGGUCUUUUUGUCUUCAAACACAAAUAAUUUCCCCUACUUUUGUUGUAGAUUUUCCUCCAGCUUUGCUGUCAGCCAGAAAAUGUGGAGAGGUUGAUAGAGACUCCGGAGAUGCAAUGUCUGAUUAUCGGUCUGACGUCCAUGUGGGAUCAAACCAGUGCAAGCUGGAGGCAGCGAGCCUCACGCAUCCUCAAAGCUGUAUCUGCUGUGCCAACAAGCAGCAUGGUCCCACGCCUGUUAGGUGAAGUCUUCAUUAUAUUGUUUCUAUAUAUUAUGACUUGUCCUUCUUUUAGGCUCCAAAAAUAUCUUGCCUGAAACUGAAAUUUCAAGAAAGCGGGGCUGAGAAAGGUGUUCACUUCACCGUAUUUAAGUUUUGAGAAAUAUAACAGACAAUUAAUGACUGUUCUAGUUUUUUUAGUUAUUGACAUUUUAUAAAUUUUAGGUAAGGUACAUAACAAUUCUGAAAUAUUCUAAAAAUCUAAAUAUUUUAUAUGUGAGUAGGCUAUUUAUCACGACUUUUAAAACUAAAAGUGAGAAAACAUUUACUUUCCCUCUAGAAUGUUUCAACCUUUCAAACUUAAAAAACAAAACAAAAAAAAUUCAAAAGAUUUUGAAUAAAAGUACAAAUAAAUAAAAAACAAAAGUGAAGUUGGACAACUAGUGAACCCUGAUGAUAAGUUUAUACACUUUAGCUACAUCAUAGAAGAUCAGAGUUGCUUUUUCUGUCAACAUCUGUUUAUCAAGACUACAAUUUCUGUUAAGGUUUGACAAUCCUAAAAUCGUACUUUUUAUUUUUAAUGAAAUAGCCUUAAGUUGAGAACUUAUAUUUGAAAUAAUUAGGCCUAAAAUCGCAUUCAAGAGUAUUAAUGCUGUUUAUUUGUGACAGAAAAAAACGCUGAGCGGGCCAGCUCUAAGCUCUUAACAACAGGGAGGGGAAGGGGGGCAGGGUUGCUCCACGUUGCUCUGCAGAAACGAUGUCCUCGAAAACGACACAGGUUUUUGAUUUUGGCUAAAAACGGCAUAAUCAUAAUUUAAAGAACACUAGGAACGUUUUUACAAUAGAUCAAUUAAAGAAUGGAGUGGGACUUUAAAGGCUCUAGCUACCGUAUUAUUCUUUCUUGUCUUUUCCUCAUACUGAUGCUGUCACAUUCUUCUUCUCAGCCAAGAAUUGUGUACGUAUCUGCAUCCAGAACCUCUUGAACAUUGGUGCUGAUGUCUCAGGGCCAGUACUGGCUGAGGUGGCCGUGGCAGUUUUCAGUUUCAUUAGAGACACAUACCACCUCAGCCCGGACCUGUUUACCGAGUUUGACACCAACAAUGGCUACCAGGCUCUCGAGACCAUUCUAAAACGGUGAGAUUAAAAGUCACAAACAUCACUGGAGAGUAAAAAGAGCUUAGAAAAUAUUUGAGAAAAAUGAAACAUUUCUAUUUAGAAGAAUUGAAUUAUUUUGUUUGUUUUCUUAAGAUGGAGUUUUACUUUAAAAAACAGACAACUCUCAAAUGGGAAUAUAUAUUCCUGAUUUAGGAGACGCCAAGGCCUUUUGAAAGUACUAUUAUUAUUUUGUAAAUUUUGUUUUGGUCUUUUGUCUGCAUGACUGUAAGCUGUGAGGAGGGGGUUUGCCUGGAAGAGUUUCGUCCUGUGGAGGAGCUUCUGGCUCUUAUUGCAUCUUUUACUUUUCUGGGAAAAGCUGAGCUUAAAGUGGCUCUCUGUGUCACCAACCCACAGCCUCCAGGUUUUAAGUUUGACCCCCCACUCACCAAAGGUAAGUCAAGUCCUUGCCAGAUCCUUUUUGUAGUUAUGCUCUGUCUGCCUCACCUGUAUUAACUCUUAUUACACCACGAGGAGGAACAAUGAACCUCCCUUGCAAAUGUUCACUCCGAGUCUUCUAAUUAGUAUCACUUGCAUGGCUCAGCAAAGAUGCACCCAGGGAGGGGACUGCUCCUUUGAAAAGACUGUUCACACUUCAUCCCUACUUUGCACUUUUGCCCUCAUAUUACCAACCACAACUCAAACACGCCCUACUCUUGAUUUCCCACCAACCCUGACUCCCCACUCCUUAUACCGCUGCCUCGCAGCAGUGCUCAACUCCUCUCAAGUUAACAGGAAGCUGAGGUGAUUAUGUCUGAGAUGAUGAAGUGGAGGCUCUCUUUUUAACUCUGUUAGGAUGCCCCACAUCCAUUCACCACUGGCCUACUGCAACCAGUCAUCUAUCAUAGAUGCACACACACCUCUAUCAAGCACUCAUGAAUAGAGCUUCCACACUAUACAUACACUCACUCAACGGUCAACUAUCACAUCAAGGAGCAGAUAUAGCAGAGUGAUCGAAAGAGAGAACAAUUCAAAACCUUGAAAUUAAUCCUUUCACCAAACAUGUUUUUUAAACAACAAAUCUAAGACACCUUCUAACUAUUAUGACAGCAAAAACAGACAAACUUUAUAGGAGUAGAUUAUGGUACUUUUCUUUCAAGUAAUGUAUGCAAAUCUGUUUGUUUUCAUUCUGUUUGUGCACGUGUAACUCAGUUGCACACUGCAUACCCUGAAGUUUUCUUUUUAUUUGGGAAGCAUUGACCUUGUCAGAACCAAACCUGAUAAAUCAAACAAAAAUGUAACAAGUUUUGCCUCCACAACAUCACAACGAUCCUCCACCCAUUCGAGACCACUAUCUAAUCAUUUUUCAAGGACUGGAAACUUUUUAAAACGUCUCUAACACAUCCUCCUUGUAUCUAGGUUCAGCUGUAAAGAACCUACCCGCCUUCCAUCUGCUGCAGGCCUCUAUGCUGCGUUCCAAUGACAUUUGCCUUUGCAGCCAGCUUUUGCAAACCAUACACACAAUAUGGAAGAGGGACCCGGCCAAUUUUUUCCUCCUGGAAUGGACGGUCCAGUCGAUGACCCAAUUGGCUGCUUGUGUGUGGAGUAAACCUCCACCUGUCCAAGAGCUUUUCUUUUCGAUGCUUGAGAUGGUAUGAUCUCUAACCUUAUGAAGAAGUUAGAUGUCAGGCAUUUUCUGAAGUUUUCAAAACUUUUACAGGUGUUAUUUAAGAUGAGUUACAUACCUCACGAGACCUUAAGAGCUCUACUGAUUGUCCUGAAGAAGAGCUGGUCUGGAGCUUUGGCUGGUGGAGUUGCUGGGACUGAAUUUGGUGUGAUGGCUCUCAAGUGUUUUCACAAGUAAGCAUUGCUGCUAACCACUAAGCAUACUGAUGUAUUUUUACAUAUCCUACCUUUCACUUUCAUAUAAAAAGAAUCUGGCAUAAUCUGCUCAGGUUUUCUAGCUUUUAAUCGAUUUAUUAAGUCAUGAAUCUAGAUUGUCUCCUCUGUAGAAUGACUGUGCACAGCUCCAUGCUAGCAGAGGUGUUGAGUGAUGGGGGAUUGUUGGAGUUGCUGCUGGGAGAACUUCGAAGGAGAGCCAAGAUCCUCAGAAAAGCCGGCCCGUUUUCUAAAACAAGUAAGAAAAAUGUUUGUUUCUUCAGAUUCUAAAAAAUUUAAACGUGCGACUAAAAAAGUAGUAUC
rnacentral:lncRNA from 1 species